UGUGUGUUAGUGGAAGCGUCUGGAAAGGCGCGCGAUACAGGGUGACAGCCCCGUACACAAAAAUGCACAUGCUGUGAGCUCGAUGAGUAGGGCGGGACACGUGGUAUCCUGUCUGAAUAUGGGGGGACCAUCCUCCAAGGCUAAAUACUCCUGACUGACCGAUAGUGAACCAGUACCGUGAGGGAAAGGCGAAAAGAACCCCGGCGAGGGGAGUGAAAAAGAACCUGAAACCGUGUACGUACAAGCAGUGGGAGCACGCUUAGGCGUGUGACUGCGUACCUUUUGUAUAAUGGGUCAGCGACUUAUAUUCUGUAGCAAGGUUAACCGAAUAGGGGAGCCGAAGGGAAACCGAGUCUUAACUGGGCGUUAAGUUGCAGGGUAUAGACCCGAAACCCGGUGAUCUAGCCAUGGGCAGGUUGAAGGUUGGGUAACACUAACUGGAGGACCGAACCGACUAAUGUUGAAAAAUUAGCGGAUGACUUGUGGCUGGGGGUGAAAGGCCAAUCAAACCGGGAGAUAGCUGGUUCUCCCCGAAAGCUAUUUAGGUAGCGCCUCGUGAAUUCAUCUCCGGGGGUAGAGCACUGUUUCGGCAAGGGGGUCAUCCCGACUUACCAACCCGAUGCAAACUGCGAAUACCGGAGAAUGUUAUCACGGGAGACACACGGCGGGUGCUAACGUCCGUCGUGAAGAGGGAAACAACCCAGACCGCCAGCUAAGGUCCCAAAGUCAUGGUU
rnacentral:rRNA from 1 species